rnacentral:rRNA from 1 species
UACGAAGGGGGCUAGCGUUGUUCGGAUUUACUGGGCGUAAAGCGCACGUAGGCGGCUCGAUCAGUCAGGGGUGAAAUCCCAGAGCUCAACUCUGGAACUGCCUUUGUUACUGUCGAUCUGGAGUAUGGAAGAGGUGAGUGGAAUUCCGAGUGUAGAGGUGAAAUUCGUAGAUAUUCGGAGGAACACCAGUGGCGAAGGCGGCUCACUGGUCCAUUACUGACGCUGAGGUGCGAAAGCGUGGGGAGCAAACAGG